UCCUAUGGUGGGCCGAGUGGGGAGGGCUUCGGCCCUGCCGGUGCCAUGUUCCGGUCCGCCAACCUUGCUCCGGUCCACCACCCCG
rnacentral:antisense_RNA from 1 species